AGUGAACGUUGGCGGCGUGGAUUAGGCAUGCAAGUCGAGCGAUCGUAGCAAUACGGGGAGCGGCAAACGGGGUAGGAAUACAUCGGAACGUACCUUUUGGUUGAGAAUAGCGUUGGGAAACUGACGGUAAUACUCAAUAAAGUCGAGAGACCAAAGGUUUACUGCCGGAAGAGCGGCCGAUGCGAUAUUAGGUAGUUGGUGGGGUAAUGGCCUACCAAGCCUGAGAUGUCUAGGGGGUGUGAGAGCAUGGCCCCACCACUGGGACUGAGAUACUGCCCAGACACCUACGGGUGGCUGCAGUCGAGGAUCUUCGUCAAUGGGCGAAAGCCUGAACGAGCGACGCCGCGUGCGGGAUGAAGGCCCUUGGGUUGUAAACCGCUGUCAGGGGGGAUGAAACCGUAAGGUUGACAGAGCCCAGAGGAAGCACGGGCUAAGUUCGUG
rnacentral:rRNA from 1 species